CAUAGGGUAAAUCCUACAGAUGAAAAGAAACUCUAAUCAAUGUCGGUUAAAUCCAAAAUAUUGGAGGAUUUCAGAAUAAAUACGGCUACAGAUCAGAAAGCUUAACUCAAUAAGGAGCGGAGGAUUAAGUGUAUCGACACGCGCUCUCCUUCAUACCCCUGGUAACAGUGACAUCGGAACCUGUCAGCCAGCAUCUGGCGCUCAUUCUUAGUUUGAUCGAUGACGGUCACGGUGAAGGUGCCAUUCCGAUUAGACAGGAUCCGAUAGUUGCCGCGGCUCAGGUGCAGGUAGUGUAGUGCCUGUGGGUCUCUACGGACACAGCGACCAUUGUUCUGACACAGUGUUAAAAAUCUCACUCUUGAAGAAGUGAGGUUAAGAUCUCCCCAAAUGACGAAUCCUGCAGCACCCAAAGCAGCACUUUCUCCUAUUGUAUGCAUCAAGUCCUUCUGUCAAAUGAAAAUGAAUAAAG